rnacentral:rRNA from 1 species
GAUGAACGCUGGCGGCGUGCCUAAUACAUGCAAGUCGAGCGAACAUACGAGGAGCUUGCUCCUCUGACGUUAGCGGCGGACGGGUGAGUAACACGUGGAUAACCUACCUAUAAGACUGGGAUAACUUCGGGAAACCGGAGCUAAUACCGGAUAAUAUAUUGAACCGCAUGGUUCAAUAGUGAAAGACGGUUUUGCUGUCACUUAUAGAUGGAUCCGCGCCGCAUUAGCUAGUUGGUAAGGUAACGGCUUACCAAGGCAACGAUGCGUAGCCGACCUGAGAGGGUGAUCGGCCACACUGGAACUGAGACACGGUCCAGACUCCUACGGGAGGCAGCAGUAGGGAAUCUUCCGCAAUGGGCGAAAGCCUGACGGAGCAACGCCGCGUGAGUGAUGAAGGUCUUCGGAUCGUAAAACUCUGUUAUUAGGGAAGAACAAAUGUGUAAGUAACUAUGCACGUCUUGACGGUACCUAAUCAGAAAGCCACGGCUAACUACGU